UACGUAGGGGGCUAGCGUUGUCCGGAAUCAUUGGGCGUAAAGCGCGCGUAGGCGGCCCGGUAAGUCCGCUGUGAAAGUCCAGGGCUCAACCCUGGAAAGCCGGUGGAUACUGCCGGGCUAGAGUCCGGAAGAGGCGAGUGGAAUUCCUGGUGUAGCGGUGGAAUGCGCAGAUAUCAGGAGGAACACCAAUGGCGAAGGCAGCUCGCUGGGACGGUACUGACACUGAGACGCGAAAGCGUGGGGAGCGAACAGG
rnacentral:rRNA from 1 species